ACAAUGGGGGGCGGCUAACACAUGCAGUCGAGCGGUAACACAGGGAGCUUGCUCCUGGGUGACGAGCGGCGGACGGGUGAGUAAUGUCUGGGAAACUGCCUGAUGGAGGGGGAUAACUACUGGAAACGGUAGCUAAUACCGCAUAAUGUCGCAAGACCAAAGAGGGGGACCUUCGGGCCUCUUGCCAUCAGAUGUGCCCAGAUGGGAUUAGCUAGUAGGUGGGGUAACGGCUCACCUAGGCGACGAUCCCUAGCUGGUCUGAGAGGAUGACCAGCCACACUGGAACUGAGACACGGUCCAGACUCCUACGGGAGGCAGCAGUGGGGAAUAUUGCACAAUGGGCGCAAGCCUGAUGCAGCCAUGCCGCGUGUAUGAAGAAGGCCUUCGGGUUGUAAAGUACUUUCAGCGAGGAGGAAGGCAUUAAGGUUAAUAACCUUGGUGAUUGACGUUACUCGCAGAAGAAGCACCGGCUAACUCCGUGCCAGCAGCCGCGGUAAUACGGAGGGUGCAAGCGUUAAUCGGAAUUACUGGGCGUAAAGCGCACGCAGGCGGUCUGUCAAGUCGGAUGUGAAAUCCCCGGGCUCAACCUGGGAACUGCAUUCGAAACUGGCAGGCUAGAGUCUUGUAGAGGGGGGUAGAAUUCCAGGUGUAGCGGUGAAAUGCGUAGAGAUCUGGAGGAAUACCGGUGGCGAAGGCGGCCCCCUGGACAAAGACUGACGCUCAGGUGCGAAAGCGUGGGGAGCAAACAGGAUUAGAUACCCUGGUAGUCCACGCCGUAAACGAUGUCGAUUUGGAGGUUGUUCCCUUGAGGAGUGGCUUCCGGAGCUAACGCGUUAAAUCGACCGCCUGGGGAGUACGGCCGCAAGGUUAAAACUCAAAUGAAUUGACGGGGGCCCGCACAAGCGGUGGAGCAUGUGGUUUAAUUCGAUGCAACGCGAAG
rnacentral:rRNA from 1 species